rnacentral:rRNA from 1 species
UACGUAGGGGGCAAGCGUUGUCCGGAGUUACUGGGCGUAAAGGGCACGCAGGCGGUUGUGUCAGUUUGCGGGGACAGUGGGCGGCUUAACUGCCCAAGGGUCGCAAAGACGGCACGACUGGAGAGCGAGAGAGGGACCUGGAACUCCGGGUGGAGCGGUGAAAUGCGUAGAGAUCCGGAAGAACACCGGUGGCGAAGGCGGUGAGCUGGGCAGUUGCUGACACUGAGGCGCGACAGCGUGGGGAGCAAACAGG